rnacentral:lncRNA from 10 species
AUAUAUGGUUAGGGCUUGGGAGGGGCCCAUGCAAGGGGUGGCUCCAAAGGGGAAGCACCCCUAGCUCCACAGUACAUCUGCCUUUGCCUCUGCCCAUAAGAUAUCUCUGCUUCUUGCCAAACUGGGUAUUGGAGUUCAUUUAGACAGAAGAGUUUUCCUUUUCAUUCCCAAACACGAGGCCCUCGGAAGUUACCAGUCAACAGCUAUUUAACUGAUACUUUAUUCUGGUUAUGUCCUUGCAACCAUAACCAUCUCUAUUCUGGGACUGAAAACAUUAGAGACAGUGUAACAUGUCAUGUGAUCAGAUUCGGCAUGUUCUCUAAAAUCUCAACAGUGCUAAAUUGCCUCCCCAUGUUACGAAAGUUGCCCAAGGAAAUGAAAUCCCAGGAUGGAUGCUCGCCAUAAAAAUAACCCCCUCGUUUCUCUGUCCCCUUCCCUGAUAGUCACGGAAAAGCCAAGGAUUAAUAGACUCCUUUAAUUUAACUCAGUUUUGUCUCUGAUGAGGGUCUAGUGAAAGCAACUGCCCAAUCUGUCGCUUGAA